CUGCCAAGAGCGCUCCUCGACCAGAGUGCUUGACAGCUGCUGUCAUUCCCUUCUCCUGAGAAACAUGGCAAAGCAGCUGCAUCAUUUGAUCCACACGGACGGGCAUCUUGGCUGGUAAGGGACCUGAGCCCGCGGCACGCUCGGCGCCCGCCUCCGUCCAGCAGCCCGGGGCCAGGCUGCCGCGGGCCCGGCAGGAAGCGGCUGGCGCCGGGGGAGGAGCGCGGCCCUCGGGCCCCCCUUUGGAUACUGAAAGGUCACUCUCAGGUCUCCCAGGAGCCUUCUUCUCCAGGCUGAACAUCCCAGCUCUCAGCCUGUCCUCGCAGGGAGGUGUUCCAUCCCUGGGAUCUUUUUUGUGGCCCUCUGCACAUUGUCCAACCAGGUUCACAUCUGAACUGAGGUCUCCACAUCUGGAUGCAGUACUCCAGCUUACAUUCCCAUCAUGCCUUGUAGAAAAAAUCCACGGGGGACGAAAGAUAACACUGAGUCCAAACCCUGAGAACAGAGCCCCAUGAAAGCAACAAAUUAUAAACUCUACUGAAGAGAUUUUCUUCAGAAAGAUCACAGGUCCCAUGCUUUAGUCAUGGCCUGUUCCUCUGCCAGCAGGUUCAGAGAGUGAUCUGUGAGAGCUAAGUGAUUUCUUUCAAGUAAGCUGCUCACGAUGACUACAGAAACCUCAAGGAUUACAGUACACAAACAAAGGGAGAAAAGCUGCUUCAAAUAAUACACCCAGACAAUGGAGUUGCCGUGAUGGUAGCAAUGCAAAAUAUGGACAGGGAUUUAAAUGAAACGGGUGAUAUCUGUAUAGUUUGGAGGGCUCACGUGUGCCAAAUUUGGCAGCAUGAGUGUUCAUAUUGCUUGUUGCUCCACCCCUUGAACAAUGAGGCUAAACCCCAUAUGUGCAGGAGUUGGUAGAGCACAAGCAGUUCUGCUAAUCACACUGCAUGCAAAAGCAAAAAGACAAAGGGAACUAGUAAUGCUUAGACUAGCAUUGGGGAAAUAAUUAAGCAUGAAUGAAAUAUUGUAUGUGGAUUUGAAAUGAAUGCGAGGCAUUCUUGGAAACAAUUGUGCUGUUUCAGUUGUGCUGCUUUCCCCCCUAAGUUUCACAAAGUAAUUUGCAUGUCAUUUAAAUAAAUACCAUAAAUUAUUGCAAACUUUUUGUUUUUAUUUACAUAAAACAAAAUACUCAUUUCCAUUAUUGUUUGGAUUACCUGACAAGAGUGAAAUGCAGAGGCCUUUGAGAUCAAACUUGUCUCUUCUCCUCAAAAUACUACAGAUUUCUCAUGCAUGCGUGAGCCAGAAAUGAC
rnacentral:lncRNA from 1 species